AUACGGGGGGUGCAAGCGUUACUCGGAAUCACUGGGCGUAAAGCGCGCGCAGGCGGUCUUUUAAGUUGGAUGUGAAAGCCUACGGCUCAACCGUAGAACUGCAUCCAAAACUAUUAGACUAGAGUGUGGGAGAGGAAGAUGGAAUUAGUUGUGUAGGGGUAAAAUCCGUAGAGAUAACUAGGAAUACCAAAAGCGAAGGCAAUCUUCUGGAACACUACUGACGCUGAGGCGCGAAAACGUGGGGAGCAAACAGGAUUAGAUACCCUAGUAGUCC
rnacentral:rRNA from 1 species